UUGUUGAAUAUUUCACAAUCUUGUUUAAUUUGUGUUUUGCUUAAAUUAUAAGUUAUAAUGAUGUUCGGUUCAAUAUAUUUUAUAGAUUCAUUUUCUGAUAUAAACGUGUGUUGACAAUUCGCUAGUUGAUUAGUAAGAAUUUGAGAGAUACAUUGAUCAGUGAUUAUACAUUUUUGGUCUAAACUUGGUGUAUUUUCUAAAUAAAAAACAAUGUUUUUAUCAGUUACAAAAUAUUCAAAGUUAUCAUUUAUGUCAAUUUGUCGGCCUAUAUUAUCUGGUUCCUAAUUAAUCCUCGUUUUUGUCUUUGUGUAGAAAUAAUUCCCUUGAUUUCAUGUUUUAGUUGUUUUAGUGCUAAGGCAAUAUCUGGUACGUAAUUAAACUUGUUUUCGUAUUUCAUAAAGU